GAAUUAUCCCAAACUUAAGCCGCUAACUUAAAAAAUAAUGUCUAAUAACAUUAAUAAUUCU
rnacentral:tRNA from 1 species